GAUGAAGAACGCAGCGAAAUGCGAUAAGUAAUGUGAAUUGCAGAAUUCAGUGAAUCAUCGAAUCUUUGAACGCACAUUGCGCCCCCUGGUAUUCCGGGGGGCAUGCCUGUUCGAGCGUCAUUUCACCACUCAAGCCUCGCUUGGUAUUGGGCAACGCGGUCCGCCGCGUGCCUCAAAUCGACCGGCUGGGUCUUCUGUCCCCUAAGCGUUGUGGAAACUUUCGCUAAAGGGUGUUCGGGAGGCUACGCCGUAAAACAACCCCAUUUCUAAGGUUGACCUCGGAUCAGGUAGGGAUACCCGCUGAACUUAAGCAUAUCAAUAAGCGGAGA
rnacentral:misc_RNA from 1 species